CGCGGCCUAUCAGCUUGUUGGUGAGGUAACGGCUCACCAAGGCAUCGACGGGUAGCUGGUCUGAGAGGAUGAUCAGCCACACUGGGACUGAGACACGGCCCAGACUCCUACGGGAGGCAGCAGUGGGGAAUAUUGCACAAUGGGCGCAAGCCUGAUGCAGCAACGCCGCGUGCGGGAAGAAGGCCCUAGGGUUGUAAACCGCUUUCAGCAGGGAAGAAAAUGGCGGUACCUGCAGAAGAAGGUGCGGCCAACUACGUGCCAGCAGCCGCGGUGACACGUAGGCACCAAGCGUUGUCCGGAUUUAUUGGGCGUAAAGAGCUCGUAGGCGGUUUUGUAAGUCGGGUGUGAAAACUCUGGGCUCAACCCAGAGAGGCCACCCGAUACUGCAAUGACUUGAGUACGGUAGGGGAGCGGGGAAUUCCUGGUGUAGCGGUGAAAUGCGCAGAUAUCAGGAGGAACACCAGUGGCGAAGGCGCCGCUCUGGGCCGUAACUGACGCUGAGGAGCGAAAGCAUGGGUAGCAAACAGGAUUAGAUACCCUGGUAGUCCAUGCCGUAAACGUUGGGCACUAGGUGUGGGUCUCAACCAACGAGAUCCGCGCCGUCGCUAACGCAUUAAGUGCCCCGCCUGGGGAGUACGG
rnacentral:rRNA from 1 species